AGAGUUUGAUCCUGGCUCAGAUUGAACGCUGGCGGCAUGCCUUACACAUGCAAGUCGAACGGCAGCACGAGAGCUUGCUCUUGGUGGCGAGUGGCGAACGGGUGAGUAAUAUAUCGGAACGUACCCUAGAGUGGGGGAUAACGUAGCGAAAGUUACGCUAAUACCGCAUACGAUCUACGGAUGAAAGUGGGGGAUCGCAAGACCUCAUGCUCAUGGAGCGGCCGAUAUCUGAUUAGCUAGUUGGUGGGGUAAAAGCUCACCAAGGCGACGAUCAGUAGCUGGUCUGAGAGGACGACCAGCCACACUGGAACUGAGACACGGUCCAGACUCCUACGGGAGGCAGCAGUGGGGAAUUUUGGACAAUGGGCGCAAGCCUGAUCCAGCAAUGCCGCGUGAGUGAAGAAGGCCUUCGGGUUGUAAAGCUCUUUUGUCAGGGAAGAAACGGUGGACUCUAAUACAGAUCACUAAUGACGGUACCUGAAGAAUAAGCACCGGCUAACUACGUGCCAGCAGCCGCGGUAAUACGUAGGGUGCAAGCGUCAAUCGGAAUUACUGGGCGUAAAGCGUGCGCAGGCGGUUGUGCAAGACAGAUGUGAAAUCCCCGGGCUCAACCUGGGAAUUGCAUUUGUGACUGCACGGCUAGAGUGUGUCAGAGGGGGGUAGAAUUCCACGUGUAGCAGUGAAAUGCGUAGAGAUGUGGAGGAAUACCGAUGGCGAAGGCAGCCCCCUGGGAUAACACUGACGCUCAUGCACGAAAGCGUGGGGAGCAAACAGGAUUAGAUACCCUGGUAGUCCACGCCCUAAACGAUGUCUACUAGUUGUCGGGUCUUAAUUGACUUGGUAACGCAGCUAACGCGUGAAGUAGACCGCCUGGGGAGUACGGUCGCAAGAUUAAAACUCAAAGGAAUUGACGGGGACCCGCACAAGCGGUGGAUGAUGUGGAUUAAUUCGAUGCAACGCGAAAAACCUUACCUACCCUUGACAUGUCUGGAAUCCUUGAGAGAUCAGGGAGUGCUCGAAAGAGAAUCAGAACACAGGUGCUGCAUGGCUGUCGUCAGCUCGUGUCGUGAGAUGUUGGGUUAAGUCCCGCAACGAGCGCAACCCUUGUCAUUAGUUGCUACGAAAGGGCACUCUAAUGAGACUGCCGGUGACAAACCGGAGGAAGGUGGGGAUGACGUCAAGUCCUCAUGGCCCUUAUGGGUAGGGCUUCACACGUCAUACAAUGGUACAUACAGAGGGCCGCCAACCCGCGAGGGGGAGCUAAUCCCAGAAAGUGUAUCGUAGUCCGGAUUGUAGUCUGCAACUCGACUACAUGAAGUUGGAAUCGCUAGUAAUCGCGGAUCAGCAUGUCGCGGUGAAUACGUUCCCGGGUCUUGUACACACCGCCCGUCACACCAUGGGAGCGGGUUUCACCAGAAGUGGGUAGCCUAACCGCAAGGAGGGCGCUCACCACGGUGGGAUUCGUGACUGGGGUGAAGUCGUAACAAGGUA
rnacentral:rRNA from 1 species